GAAUUGCGAUAAGUAAUGUGAAUUGCAGAUUUUCAGUGAAUCAUCGAAUCUUUGAACGCACCUUGCGCUCCUUGGUAUUCCGAGGAGCAUGCCUGUUUGAGUGUCAUUGAAUUCUCAACCAUGUCUUGAUUGAUUUUUCGAGGCAUGGCUUGGACUCUGGGGGUUUGCUGGUGGCGGAAAAGCUGCCGGCUCUCCUGAAAUGCAUUAGCAGAGGGCGGGCAAGUCUUUUGACGUGCACGGCCUUCGACGUGAUAAUGAUCGUCGUGGCUGGAGCGUUUGGACAUGCAUGAAUAUCCGUUCCUACGCUUCUAAUUCCCCUCCACCUCACUACUAUAUUAGCCUUUCAAGGCUGCUUUAGCUACUAGUUGGUCGUGAGGCUGACGAACGCUGGGGUGGGCUGGUCUGGUCUGGCAAAGUAGUGUUUGUGUUUCAUGAAACUUUGAAACUGACCUCAAAUCAGG
rnacentral:rRNA from 1 species